GUUAAGACAUCUAAAGCUGAUACUCAUCAGACCCCAGAAAAGAUAUUGAUUGAUAGAGAUGGCAGGGUGGUGUCUGGGGGAAUCAGAAUGCACCAGGGAAUGGGUAAUGAUUCACCUUCUGAGUCAAUUUGCACAGGAAAUUGAUGACCCUGGAGUAUCAAGUUCAGAU
rnacentral:ncRNA from 1 species